rnacentral:rRNA from 1 species
GAUGAACGCUAGCGGUGUGCCUAAUGCAUGCAAGUCGAACGGGAUCCUUGGAUUCGUCUGAGGUGAGAGUGGCGAACGGGUGAGUAACACGUUGGUGACCUACCCCAAAGAGAGGGAUAACUAUUGGAAACGAUGGCUAAUACCUCGGAUGUAUUACUGUUUAGAAAGGUAAUACUAAAGCUCCGGCGUUUUGGGAGGGGCCUGCGGUCCAUCAGCUAGUUGGUAAGGUAAUGGCUUACCAAGGCAAAGACGGAUAGGGGGCGUGAGAGCGUGACCCCCCACACUGGUACUGAGACACGGACCAGAUACCUGCGGGUAGCAGCAGCAAGGAAUAUUGCGCAAUCGACGCAAGUCGGACGCAGCAACACCGCGUGAAGGAUGAAGGCCCUCGGGUCGUAAACUUCUUUUCUGGGGGAAGAGAAAGGACG